UAAGGCGACUAUACUGGAGAUGCUCCACCCGUUCCCAUUCCGAACACGGAAGUGAAAUUCUCCAAGGCCGAUGAUAGUGGCUCUGCCGCGAAAGUAGGUAGUCGCCCUAC
rfam:Candidatus Wildermuthbacteria bacterium RIFCSPHIGHO2_02_FTLL_49_9 rifcsphigho2_02_scaffold_3346, whole genome shotgun sequence.